GACGAACGCUGGCGGCGUGCUUAACACAUGCAAGUCGAACGAUGAAACCGCUUCGGUGGUGGAUUAGUGGCGAACGGGUGAGUAACACGUGGGCAAUCUGCCCUUCACUCUGGGACAAGCCCUGGAAACGGGGUCUAAUACCGGAUAACACUCUGUCCCGCAUGGGACGGGGUUGAAAGCUCCGGCGGUGAAGGAUGAGCCCGCGGCCUAUCAGCUUGUUGGUGGGGUAAUGGCCUACCAAGGCGACGACGGGUAGCCGGCCUGAGAGGGCGACCGGCCACACUGGGACUGGGACACGGCCCAGACUCCUACGGGAGGCAGCAGUGGGGAAUAUUGCACAAUGGGCGAAAGCCUGGUGCAGCGACGCCGCGUGAGGGAUGACGGCCUUCGGGUUGUAAACCUCUUUCAGCAGGGAAGAAGCGAAAGUGACGGUACCUGCAGAAGAAGCGCCGGCUAACUACGUGCCAGCAGCCGCGGUAA
rnacentral:rRNA from 1 species